CCAUCGGAGCUAGACUCAUUUUGAUACGUAGUCUGUUGAAGUCUGGUUGUCACAAAAUUCUUGGCAAUGUUUCAAUGCUCCCAUAUCCCAAAUAAAGGGUGUACCAAUUUCAAAAUUCAUUGACAAAGAGUAGCCCGAAAGGUAUUAUUUUAAUUUAUAACCCAUGCAUAAGCAUCCAAGAUCUAUCCGAUACAUAGUUAAUAUAGAUUUAAAUAUAUACAUAUAUAGGUCC
rnacentral:lncRNA from 1 species